rnacentral:rRNA from 1 species
GACGGAAGGUGCAAGCGUUGCUCGGAAUCACUGGGCGUAAAGGGUGCGUAGGCGGCUGUGUAAGUCUGGCGUGAAAGCCCCGGGCUCAGCCCGGGAAGUGCGCUCGAAACUGCGCAGCUCGAGUGCCGGAGGGGAGAGUGGAAUUCCUGGUGUAGCGGUGAAAUGCGUAGAUAUCUGGAGGAACACCGGUGGCGAAGGCGGCAUUCUGGACCGACAUUGACGCUGAGGAGCGAAAGCCAGGGGAGCAAACGGG